GAUGAACGCUGGCGGCGUGCCUAAUACAUGCAAGUCGAGCGAACGGACGAGAAGCUUGCUUCUCUGAUGUUAGCGGCGGACGGGUGAGUAACACGUGGAUAACCUACCUAUAAGACUGGGAUAACUUCGGGAAACCGGAGCUAAUACCGGAUAAUAUUUUGAACCGCAUGGUUCAAAAGUGAAAGACGGUCUUGCUGUCACUUAUAGAUGGAUCCGCGCUUCAUUAGCUAGUUGGUAAGGUAACGGCUUACCAAGGCAACGAUGCAUAGCCGACCUGAGAGGGUGAUCGGCCAAACUGGAACUGAGACACGGUCCAGACUCCUACGGGAGGCAGCAGUAGGGAAUCUUCCGCAAUGGGCGAAAGCCUGACGGAGCAACGCCGCGUGAGUGAUGAAGGUCUUCGGAUCGUAAAACUCUGUUAUUAGGGAAGAACAUAUGUGUAAGUAAAUGUGCACAUCUUGACGGUACCUAAUCAGAAAGCCACGGCUAACUACGUG
rnacentral:rRNA from 1 species